AGCGCCAGGCCUGGCCAGGAAUCCGGGCAAGGGCGCGGGCAGCUGUCCCUUCCGUGAACCUCUAGCCUCCCGCGGCGAGGAGAGCUGCAGGGCAGGAGUGCACGGCCCGCAGGCGUAAGCAAGCUCUCUGUUUCUUGCCAAUCACAAGUGAGAAAAGCAAGUAGUCCCAAGAGUUUCUGGAAGCCACCUUGUGACACUUCAGAGGAGGCAGAGCCAAGAGACUAGAAGAACAUUGGUCCUCUGUAACAGCUGCUGGAUCGAGCCUUGCCUGAAGCUAUUCCUAGUUCUAGACUCUUUGCCUAUAGAUCAAUGACCUCACAAACCCUUUUUCGAAUAAAGAAGAUAAUUUCUUUUUUUUGCAAGGCAAAGCUACGCCAGGGGCUGGCAGUGUUCAGCUAAGUGAUAAGAGGACUGAGUAACUGCGAAUCACCGUUUGACAAGCACUCAAUCUCUCAAUCAAGCAAUGCCCUUUAAACAAUUAAUACAAUGUUUGUUUUUUGUUUUUUUUUUGGCUGCACUGCACGGCAUGUGGGAUCUUAGUUCCUGGACCAGGGAUCCAACCUGUGCCCCCUGCAGUGGAAGUUCAGAAUCCUAACCACUGGACCGCCAGAGAAGUCCCAAUACAAAGUAUUUCUUAACUGAUUAAAAUACAGAAAUUGAAACAUAACCCAGUACUGCAUUUAAAGACAUGAAUCCCCUGGGAAAACUCCUCAAGCCCUUGUUGGUUCAUCUGAGGGGGUUAAGAGUUUGAAUCCCAACUUCACCACCUCCUGGCCCUGCCACCUUGGGUAACUUGCUUGACAUCUCUGUGCCGCAUUUUUCUUCAUCUAUAAAAUGGGGAAAGCAAUAAGAGAAGGUUCUGUAGGGCCUGAAGUUUCUGCAGUUUGUCGGGGGGGGGGGGAAUCUUAAAAAUUACAAAUGUAAAGUGAAAUGAUAGACUAAACUCCCUGAAGUAAAAUGGAAUGGGGAUGGAUGUAAAAUGAAAAGAUUUUUCAUGAAAAAGGUUUUGGCUGAAGGUUCAAUAUAAUCCCAUGUUAAGAUGGCUGCCCCCAAACUAAUGUGAUCUCAGGCUGCAUCUUUGGCGGUAUAGAUUGAGGAUGAGGGAGGUGAUAGCUGGAAGGUUGGGUUCAAUUCUGGUUGCCAUACCUUUGAGGGGACAGGGAGAGACCAGAGGCCAAUUUGUGGAGGGCAAAGGAUAGUGAGGAACUGGGGAUCCUGACUUCAGAGAAGAGAGACUCAGGGGGCAGAGACGGGAGCACCAAUAACCCUGCCUGCUCCAAGGGCAGAACGCGGAGAUGACAAGGCACUGAGAACCAACUCUGACAGAACUGUCCCACAGGGAAAAGGAUUGUGUUCAGAGGUAGUGAGCAUCCUAUCACUGGUGGUAUGCAAGAAGAAUUAGGAUUCCUGCUUCGAGCUCUCAGUUUCAGCAAAAAUACUAGACCUUACUGAUAAAACAUCCUUGUUGGCUAUAUAUACACAUAUUGUAGUCAACAAGUAUGUAGUCCAUAUUUCCCCUAUUUUAAGAUGUACUUUAAGAAAUGAAUAUUAC